GAUCCUGGCUCAGAUUGAACGCUGGCGGAAUGCUUUACACAUGCAAGUCGAACGGUAGAGGGGGCAACCCUUGAGAGUGGCGAACGGGUGAGUAAUAUAUCGGAACGUGCCCAGUCGUGGGGGAUAACGUAGCGAAAGUUACGCUAAUACCGCAUACGAUCUACGGAUGAAAGCGGGGGAUCGCAAGACCUCGCGCGAUUGGAGCGGCCGAUAUCAGAUUAGGUAGUUGGUGAGGUAAAGGCUCACCAAGCCGACGAUCUGUAGCUGGUCUGAGAGGACGACCAGCCACACUGGGACUGAGACACGGCCCAGACUCCUACGGGAGGCAGCAGUGGGGAAUUUUGGACAAUGGGCGCAAGCCUGAUCCAGCAAUGCCGCGUGCAGGAUGAAGGCCUUCGGGUUGUAAACUGCUUUUGUGCGGAACGAAACGGUGAGCUCUAAUACAGUUUGCUAAUGACGGUACCGUAAGAAUAAGCACCGGCUAACUACGUG
rnacentral:rRNA from 1 species